ensembl:lncRNA
CAAAUACUUGGAGAAAACUGACUGUAAAUUUUGUGCUAUCUUCCAGUAUAUGCUGGCUAAGAUCUUCAUUGGUCUUCAACCCCAUACACUUCAACCCCAUCACAAUAUACUGUAAAUCAGAAAACUUGUUUAUUUAUUAUGAAUGUGACCUGAUAAAUCAGGUCUCCUAGUAUAGUCAGGGGCGUCGGACUGGGGGUAAAACCAGUACUAAUUACCAGGGCCCCAAAGGAAGAGAGGGCCCUUGAAAAGUCUGUAAUAUAUUUUAUUUUACCUGGAUAUUUUCAAGGGUGGGGAUGGUGGCAUGGGGGCCCAUCAGGACUGCCUAUGCAUAGGGCCCGGGAUCUUGUGCAACGCCCCUGAGUAUAGUAUCUGUUCUUUCAGAUAAACAUUAGCAAACGUGCUAUAAUGUGAGUCGGGUGAGUCAACCCCCCGAACCUUUACCUUUAAAAUCCGAAGUUCCUAUAAAUCACUUAGCCUCCUUAAACCCAUUGUUUAAUACACACACAUUGUGACACCGGCUAAAGCAGCCGAAAUAAACUGCAGUGCGCUUAGAAAACAAAAAGAUGCGCAUUUGUACACUGAUUUCUUCUGAGGAAGAGCGAGAGAGAGCUAGAGAGAGAGAGUGUGUGUGUGUGUGUGUGUGUGUGUGUGAGAGAGGGAGAGAGAGAGAGAGAGAGAGAGAGAGAGAGAGAGAGAGACUUGCUCGUGCAGGGAGCGUGUUCGGCGUUCACUUCACCUCCCACAUGUAACGUGGCAGACAGCGAUGGCAAAGCUCCUCAACAAGUGAAGCGUGUUGUCUUCAGUUCCCCGAACAAUCGCAGCAUGGUUGCGGUGAGCGCGGAGAGCCCCGUGGAUCAGUACCGGACGCUGGCGUACGACACCGCGCUCAGUACUUUACUCGCUGUGCUGGUGUACGUGGUGGUGAAGGUGAACCUGGACGGGAUCCGCCAGUGGCGGGCUCGGAUCUCGGUUCUGAUCGUGGGCUCGGGUCCGAUCGGGCUGACCGCGGCUCUGGUCGCUGUCCGCUCCGGCAAGGUGCUGAAACUGACGCUCCUGGAUGAGCGCUACCGGAGCGCGCUGCUCUGCAGACCGCAGCAGAUCGCGCUGGACCCCCGCAGCGUCCGCUUCCUCCUGGACCUGGGGGUGGAUUUUGACAACAUGGAAGGCUGCUGGCACAACGAGCACUUCUUCACCAAAAUCGGAGUGUUUCAGGAGUAUUUGUUGAGCAUCCUGGAGCAGAAGAAGCAAAAGGUUGACGUGAAAGUCCAUUUGGGUACAAAGUUUAGCGAGGAGUACCUGAGGAAGAUGCCGAGGGGUGAAUGGCCGCGGGUGAUUGUAGUUGCUGACGGUUCGUGUGGAGACUCCUGCUCUGUGCUGGGCAUCAGCGCUGAUUACAUCGUGGAAUCAUGUCGCGCUUAUGGUGCCAAUGCUACAAUAGAAAGAACGGACCAGAGACAGGUUCCUACACCAGAGAUCCGUGCACAUAGUUUGUAUUUUGAUCUGUCUGCGUACGGGAUCGACACUGUGAGGGAAUCACGCAGCUCCUCUCAGCCGGCAGCGAAGCCUGGAUUCCACCUGAAGAUCUACGGGACGUUCCGGAACCGCUGCAUGGCUCUGGCCUGCACUUCAGACGCAGACUCCAAAAUGAUGCAUUUCCUGCGCCACACGGCCAACUCUUCAAUCAUGAAGAACAUCUUCCACCAGUCGUUCAACGCGUAUAAGACAGACAUCGAGCCUCGUCUGAGUGAACUGACGCUGCACCACAUGCAGUGCAGCCGCAAGCUGUUCCAGAUCAUGCUGUCCUACAGACGCGUCAGCGCCGCUUACAUCGAAGGAGACAACAUCGCCGUGACUGUGGAAGGAGAAGCUGCGCGAGUGCUCAACUUCGACACUGGUUGUGGUGUGAAUCUGGGCAUGAGGGGACUGGAGUCGCUGGGAAUGUUCAUCUACAGAACGGCCACGGCUCUGGACCAGAAUGACGUGUUCGAGGCGCUCUCGGCCAAAAUCCAGCACUCCAGACACGUGGCAGAGACGUUCAGGAAGAGCGGACUGGCCUCAGCUGUGUUUGAAUGACCCUGAGUGUGUGUGUGUGUGUGUGUGUGUGUGUGUCAGAGAAACAGUGUGUGUGUGUUCUGAGGUGAGUCAUAAACUAUAACACGUAAUGCUUACAGAAUAAUGAUCUGUUUUUGGAAUAUUGAGUAUUCAGUGCACAUUAGAGUGACCAGAGUUUGUACAUUAGCACUUCAUUUGUGGGAAAAAAAAGUGUAUUGGUGUAAUGUGAUGGUAAACUUGGUACAUUGUGUUUUUGAGUAGUUUAAACAUCUUAAACAUCUGAUCCAGCCUAAAAUGACCACAAUCCUAAAGAAAACCUUACUGAAGAUACAGUGACCUUUAGAAAUAUUUGGCCACUUACAAAAGUAUAAAAGCCACUGCAUUAGAUAAUAAAAUAUCAAAGCAAGAGUCCUAAUCA